GUGCAGUGGAAGGAGUGUGGGCGCUGUUGUUUAGGGGUGAAAUAGACAUCUCCAGAGGGGAAGGAACUCCCUAUCUGUAUUCUAAAGCUACUGGAAUGCAUUUGGUGACACAGCGACAGUGACUGUGCCAGAACGGAAGUGGUGGUGGGCUUGGCACAGCAUCUGCAUCGUCAGCACAGCACACAAAUGGCUCAGAGAAGGGACGGACAUCUUGGUUCUGGAGUUGCAGUAGUUUUGGACCAAGGUCAAUUUCAGGAAACUGAAGCCAUGUAAAUCGGGAUGUCAGGAAUUGGGGACUGUUGCAAUGUAUUU
rnacentral:lncRNA from 1 species